rnacentral:tRNA from 1 species
GGUUUCGUGGUGUAGUGGUUAUCACGUUUCGUUUACAGCAUGUCUGACAUCCUGCACCGAAAAGGUCCCGGGUAUGUGUGCUAUGAGUGCCCAAAGUGAAUGUAGGAGCUAAACGUUAUGAUAUAGGUUCGACCCCCGGCGAAACCU